UGCCAGCCGCCGCGGUAACACGGGGGGCGCAAGCGUUAUUCGGAAUUAUUGGGCGUAAAGGGCGCGCAGGCGGUCUUGUCCGUCAGGCGUGAAAGCCCCAGGCUCAACCUGGGAACUGCGUUUGAUACUGGAUACCUAGAGUCCGAGAGAGGGUGGUGGAAUUCCCAGUGUAGAGGUGAAAUUCGUAGAUAUUGGGAGGAACACCAGUGGCGAAGGCGGCCACCUGGCUCGGUACUGACGCUGAGGUGCGAAAGUGUGGGGAGCAAACAGGAUUAGAUA
rnacentral:rRNA from 1 species